rnacentral:rRNA from 1 species
UACGGAGGGUGCGAGCGUUGUCCGGAAUCACUGGGCGUAAAGGGCGCGUAGGCGGCACUGUUAGUCAGGCGUGAAAGUCCUGGGCUCAACCUGGGAACUGCGCUUGAUACGGCAGAGCUAGAGGAUGGAAGAGGCUCGCGGAAUUCCCAGUGUAGAGGUGAAAUUCGUAGAUAUUGGGAAGAACACCGGUGGCGAAGGCGGCGAUCUGGGUCGAUACUGACGCUGAGGUGGCGAAAGCGUGGGGAGCAAACAGG